UACAGAGGAUGCAAGCGUUAUCCGGAAUCAUUGGGCGUAAAGCGUCUGUAGGUGGCUUUUUAAGUCCGCCGUCAAAUCCCAGGGCUCAACUCUGGACAGGCGGUGGAAACUACCAAGCUGGAGUACGGUAGGGGCAGAGGGAAUUUCCGGUGGAGCGGUGAAAUGCGUAGAGAUCGGGAAGAACACCAACGGCGAAAGCGCGCUGCUGGGCCGACACUGACACUGAGAGACGAAAGGUAGGGGAGCGAAUGGG
rnacentral:rRNA from 1 species